rnacentral:misc_RNA from 1 species
AUCAAUCAAUGCGAAAAUGAUCAGCAGGAUGGAUAUGAUAAAUUUUAACGGGGACACUUCAAUCACCCUGCCAUUUAGUGUGUAUGUAAACAAUGGAUUGAGAUCAAUCAUGUGAAGUAAUACCCACGCGCCUGCAAUCGCGGCAAUCACUGCGGGUAUCCCAAAUCGAAUAAGGACUUGCCUGUCAGCAUUUUUACCAACUAAGAAAAGUUUAAAAAUAUUGUUGAAGAAAUGAACAACACCUGUCAAUGCAAUUGCAAGAUCAACCGGAAAGAAUAACAUGAAUACGGGAGUGAGCAAAGUGCCUAACCCAAAUCCGGAAAAAAAAGUGAGGAUGGCGAUGAAGAACGCAGC